rnacentral:rRNA from 1 species
AUUGAACGCUGGCGGUAUGCCUUACACAUGCAAGUCGAACGGCAGCACGGGUGCUUGUUCCUGGUGGCGAGUGGCGAACGGGUGAGUAAUACAUCGGCACAUGUCCUUUGGUGGGGGGUAGCCCGGCGAAAGCCGGAUUAAUACUGCAAACGAAUCACCGAUGAAAGCGGGGGACCUUCAAGCCCCGCGCUAUAGGGAUUGCCGAUGGCUGAUUAGCUAGUUGGUGGGGUAAAGGCCUAGCAAGGCGACGAUCAGUAGCUGGUCUGAGAGGACGACCAGCCACACUGGGACUGAGACACGGCCCAGACUCCUACGGGAGGCAGCAGUGGGGAAUAUUGGACAAUGGGCGAAAGCCUGAUCCAGCAAUACCGCGUGUGUGAAGAAGGCCUUCGGGUUGUAAAGCACUUUUGUCCGGAAAGAAAUCCUUGACUCUAAUACGGUCCGGGGAUGACGGUACCGAAAGAAUAAGCACCGGCUAACUACGUG